UUAAGUGACGAUAGCCUAGGAGAUACACCUGUACCCAUGCCGAACACAGAAGUUAAGCCCUAGAACGCCGGAAGUAGUUGGGGGUUGCCCCCUGUGAGAUAUGGAAGUCGCUUAGC
rfam:Peptoniphilus lacrimalis DNF00528 contig083, whole genome shotgun sequence.